GACGAACGCUGGCGGCGUGCCUAAUACAUGCAAGUUGAGCGCUGAAGGUUGGUACUUGUACCAACUGGAUGAGCAGCGAACGGGUGAGUAACGCGUGGGGAAUCUGCCUUUGAGCGGGGGACAACAUUUGGAAACGAAUGCUAAUACCGCAUAAAAACUUUAAACACAAGUUUUAAGUUUGAAAGAUGCAAUUGCAUCACUCAAAGAUGAUCCCGCGUUGUAUUAGCUAGUUGGUUAGGUAAAGGCUCACCAAUGCGAUGAUACAUAGCCUACCUUGUAAGGUUAUCCGGCAAAAUGGGACCGAGAAAAGGGCCAAACUCCUACGGGGAGGCGCAGGAGGGAAUCAUUGGCAAUGGACGAAAGUCUGACCGAGCAACGGCGCGGGAGGGAAGAAGGGUUUCGGAUCGUAAAACUCCGUUGGUAGAGGAGAACGUUGAGGAGAGUGGAAAGCUCAUCAAGUGACGGUAACUACACAGAAAGGGACGGCUAACUACGUG
rnacentral:rRNA from 1 species